UCCUGGUGUAGCUCCUCCCCCUGGUGCUCACGGGCCCUGAUCAGUUCCAGCUUCCAAUGAUCCUCCUCACGGUUCAUCCCCAGCAUCUGAGCAUCAAUGUGCAUUGGUGGGCAGCUUGAACAAGCCUUUCAGUAGCAGGCUGGCCUUCCUCGCUUUGAGAACUCUCACCAGGCUGCCUCUGUGUCUGCGUGGGUGGGGUGGGGUGUCAAGGGGCAUGUGAAGAAACUUGAUUUUAGGAUGCUGGGUGACUGGGGAGGACUGAAUGUUGUGAUUGGUGUGGGUCUAGGUGGCUGUUCAUUAGUGUGUGGUUAGGAUGCCGGGUGCCAGAGGCGGA
ensembl:lncRNA